rnacentral:rRNA from 1 species
UUUUGGAAGUAAAAAGUCGUAACAAGGUUUCCGUAGGUGAACCUGCGGAAGGAUCAUUACCGAGGUGCGGGCCCUCGUGGCCCAACCUCCCACCCUUGUCUCUAUACACCUGUUGCUUGGGCGGGGCCCACCGGGGCCACCUGGUCGCCGGGGGACAUCUGUCCCCGGGCCCGCGCCCGCCGAAGCGCUCUGUGAACCCUGAUGAAGAAUGGGCUGUCUGAGUACUAUGAAAAUUGUCAAAACUUUCAACAAUGGAUCUCUUGGUUCCGGCAUCGAUGAAGAACGCAGCGAAAUGCGAUAAGUAAUGUGAAUUGCAGAAUUCCGUGAAUCAUCGAAUCUUUGAACGCACAUUGCGCCCCCUGGCAUUCCGGGGGGCAUGCCUGUCCGAGCGUCAUUUCUGCCCUCAAGCACGGCUUGUGUGUUGGGUGCGGUCCCCCCGGGGACCUGCCCGAAAGGCAGCGGCGACGUCCGUCUGGUCCUCGAGCGUAUGGGGCUUUGUCACUCGCUCGGGAAGGACUGGCGGGGGUUGGUCACCACCAAAAUUUUACCACGGUUGACCUCGGAUCAGUUGAGAGA